CCAUUUAAGUAUGAUGAUAUUUAUAAUAAAUACAAUAAAGCAAUUAGUAUGCAAAGCUCCCGUCCAUGUUAUAUGAUCUCAUUAUAUAAAUUAUUUUUUACCAUGUUUAGUAGUGAAUCUUCCAUUUUCAUGUGAUCUCUUUUUAUUGUAUCAUUUAUUAUGAUUUUUAUUAUACAGUAUGAAGUUUUGUAAAUGGUGCAUGAUAACUUGUUGAGUUGUUAAAUCAGUCAUAACUUGUUAAAAAGAUAAGUGAUUAUACCCUUAUCCUAACUUAUAAACCAGUUACUUAACAUAUAAUAGCAUAGUUGUGUUGUGCUACACUUUUAACAACAUUCCAUCCAAUUAAUGUGAUCUUU
rnacentral:lncRNA from 1 species